CCGACGGUGAGGGAUGAAAGCUGGGGGAGCAAACCGGAUUAGAUACCCGGGUAGUCCCAGCUGUAAACGAUGCAAACUCGAUGAUGCGUUGGCUUGUUGCUAGCGCAGUGUCGCAGGGAAGCCGUUAAGUUUGCCGCCUGGGAAGUACGUACGCAAGUAUGAAACUUAAAGGAAUUGGCGGGGGAGCACCACAAGGGGUGAAGCCUGCGGUUCAAUUGGAGUCAACGCCUGAAACCUUACCCGGAGAGACAGCAGAAUGAAGGUCAAGCUGAAGACUUUACCAGACAAGCUGAGAGGUGGUGCAUGGCCGUCGCCAGCUCGUGCCGUGAGAUGUCCUGUUAAGUCAGGUAACGAGCGAGAUCCCUGCCUCUAGUUGCCACUAUUACACCCUGGUGUAGUAGGGCGAAUUAGGGGGACCGCCGCAGUUAAUGCGGAGGAAGGAAGGGGCCACGGCAGGUCAGUAUGCCCCGAAACUCUGGGGCCACACGCGGGCUGCAAUGGUAGCGACAAUGAGUUCCAAAAUCGAAAGAUAGAGGUAAUCCCUAAACGCUACCACAGUUGUGAUUGAGGGCUGCAACUCGCCCUCACGAAUAUGGAAUCCCUAGUAACUGCGUGUCAUUAUCGCGCGGUGAAUACGUCCCUGCUCCUUGCACUCACCGCCCGU
rnacentral:rRNA from 1 species